UGAUAAAUAGAGCCAUCCUGAACUUUGACCUUUCCACAGAAAUGAAAUGAAGCUGCGGUUGUUGUAAUUUCAGCAUCUCAAUGUAUCCAUGUGAAGCUUGGGAUGUAAUGUACCAGCAGGGAGGUUAUAUCUGUGGAUAAACACUUUCACUCUUUUGCACGUGACUCGCCUGUGUCAGUUUCUGGGUUCGCUGGGGAGCAGGUUGUACUGCCCUGUAUCUACAAAGGGAAAAUCCCAGUCUCUGAUUUACUGGUCAUCUGGGGGAGACGCAAGACGGAAAUUGUACACAAGUUUGUCUAUGGAAACGAUAAUUUGAGAGAACAAGAUACACAGUUCAUAAACAGAACAAACCUGUUCAAAGAUCAGCUGGAAAAAGGCAACUGGUCAGUUCUGAUCUCUGACCUCAGGGAGACAGACCAGGAUGAGUAUCAGUGCCAGAUUUUCUGGAACACGACUGUAGGUGUAUAUUGGGAGCAAACUGAAAUUGUUCAUCUCUCAGUAAAAGAGCGAGCUCCUACAGCUGGACCAAACACAACUGUACCAGGUAAAUCUGUGUGUAAAAUAUUGCUGUGUUUUCAUAUCUUACAUUUGAUCAUGCGGGAUAAACAGGGAGCGACAUUGGUGGUUUGCAAUGCUGUGUGGUAUUGUAUGAAAGAAUGAGUCUGCUAAAGUGAGUGAUGUGGGUCACUGUUACCUGGAACUGGCCCUUGGAAUUUGUUAUUAAGUUGUUGAGAGACCCCUUCCUGUCCAUCAGAUUGAUUGUAUUUUGGUACAUGUGACAAUAAAUCAGUGAAAAGCUUUGUUUACAUGUAGUACAGGCAGAUCACAGCAUGCAAGGGAUGUACAGAGCAAAUAGAGGCAUGCAGGUUACAUUGCAGGUUCCAUUGGCUGAGGUGAGAAGACAUUCAACAGUCUGAUAACAGCCAGAGUGAAGCUGCUCCUGAACAUGUUCGUACAUGCUUUCAGGCUUCUGUAUCUUCUGCCUGAUGGAAGAGGUUAUGGAAGGUCAUUACCCGGGUGUGAUGAGUCUUUGAUGAUGUUGGCUGCCUUUCUGUGGCAGUGAGCUGUGUGAGUAGAGUCCGCGGAUGGCAGGUCGGCUUCUGUGAUGGUCUGGGCUGUGCACACAGCCUUCUGUAGUUUCUCACAGUCCUGGGCAGAAGAGUUACCGUACCAGGCCGUUAUACACCCGGACGGAGCACUUUCAAUGGUGCAUCUAUGGAGGCUGGUGAGGGACCUUGUCAAUAUGCCAAUUUCCUGAGCCGCCUGAGCGAGAAGUGGCAUUGCCGUGUCUCCUUGACUGUCACGUCUACGUGGCAAGUCCAGGACAGGUUGUCCGUUAUUGUCAUUUCAAGGAACAUCAUGCUCUUCAUCCUCUCCACCUCAGUUCCAUCGAAAUAGAUGGAGGCAUGUUCUCCUCCAUUCUUCCUGAAGUCAAUGAUCAAUUCUUUAGUUUUGCAGCGGUUGGGAGACAGACUGUUUUUAUUGCAGCACAUGGCCAAGCCCUCCAACUCCAUUCUGUUGUUAGAUAGCCAUCCCACCAUGCUGAAGUCAGCAGUGAACUUGCAGAUGGUGUUCAUUCGGAAUUUGGCAACACAGUCAUAGCUGUACAUGCAAUACAGUAGGGGCCUGAAGACACUUGUUUGGGGGUGUCCAGUGUUGGUCAUGUUACUAGACAACAGUCCAGAGACCUGGACUAAUAAUCCAGUGAAUGAGAAUUCAAAUCCCAUCAUGGGACUCAGAUACAGGACUCUGAGGAUCCCUGCUUCCCACUGACAUUAGUGUUUCUGGAAUUCUGUGUGGAGAGUCUCAGUACACUUUGAAUGCAACCCUGCUGUUGGGAAACUGAUGGAAAGUGAAGUCAGUGGAGAGUAACAGUGAUCCAGGUGUAAGCUGCCCUUCCGCUCCCCCAACCCCAGUCCCAGAGAGAAAGGGAAUUUUCUCAUCUUAUUGAGAUUUACUUGGUUCCAUGAGUAUGCUGUUUCCAGUUUGAGAAAACAAUGAAGCGUCUAGAUCCAAAAUGUCAGCUUUUCUGCUCCUCCGAUGCUGCUUGGCCUGCUGCGUUCAUCCAGCUCCACACCUUGUUAUCUCAGAUUCUCCAACAUCUGCAGUUCCUAUUAUCCCUCACCUGCUGGAUAAAGUUGUUUCUGCGAGCUGCCUGUUCCUCAGAGGGAGGAUGAUGCUCGCACUGAGACCCUGUGUGGGAAGCAUCAAUGUGGGGAAUCUUAACUUUUUCACAGCAGCUGCCACAUGUUUUUUUCUUGAUCAGGACACUAGGUCUGAAGAAGGGGUUUACAGGUUGAUAAUCAACCUGUUUGGCCAGCUAAGGCACACGUUCUGUCAUGGUGAAGUCCUUAAACCUGGAGGUAGUGACCCCAAACAAGGACGCAGCCGCUGUGCCACACGUCCUCCCUCUUUACACUGCAUCAAAGCAAGAUUUACAUACUUUCAUUGAUCCUCUCAUUUUGUGAAUCUUACACAAUCUUAGAAUUUCCUGAAUGUUGAACUUAUUUUAACAUUUUACAUUUGGGAUAAUUUAUCUGCAAUUAUAUUAUCUUUCCCAGAAAUAUGAAAAUGAUCCUUCACAACCCACAAACCCUCAACUAAAAGGUUCUUCAGAAUCUCGUGUGGGUAUCGUGAUUACAUGCUGAAAUAUUCUUACUUCCUGACAUGUCUAUGUUUUACAGAACUGCACUAUGUCUUUAUGAAGCCCUGACCCAUAUAAAAUACCUGUUUAUUGACGCCUGUGUUUUCAAUAUUCUCAUAUCUCCUGCUAUUGGACUUUCACAUGCGAUUCACAAAGUUUCUUCACAAUAUCUGGACAGUACCAGUUUUGAUGAACAAUCAUCUAUUUGUCAUUCACUGGUUAAUGAGGAUGUCUCCACUUCCUCAUCAGAACUUUUUUAAAAAUAUAAUGACAGUCUGGAACUCCGGCAGACGGAGCCUCAGCCUGAGCUGUCUGUGCUAUCGCUCUCGAAUUUGGCUCUGCUUCCUGAUUCUCAGUUAAUGAAGACAUGCCAAACGCUUCCUUUGAAUUAUCUUUAUUCUUAAAUGGAGCUUCAGUGACCCUAGAAUCUGUUUGCAGUAUUACUGUGACCUCUGGGCUGGACUUUCUUUAUCAAUUGAUCUGGUCAUGCUACAGGAUGGAAGAAUAUUGGGACCUGUUCCUCUAACUGUUCUGUCAUUUAAGCUUCAGCUGGACUUUCUGUGAUAAUUAGCAAAGUUGAAACUUUUGCAUCUGUCAGAUCAUUCCCCAGAAGUAAAAGAAUUCCAUCUACAGGUCAUUUCUUAACUGUCCUGACUACCAUGAGCGCAGUCAACCCAAGCUAUGCUUCAGUUGGACUUUGGAGAAAGCAAACUGGAAUAUCCUCUCCAUCUAUUCCAUUUCCCAACACGGUGGCUUUCAUUGAAAUCUCUGAAUGGAAAAUUAAAUCCUACUCCCUCAAGAGAGUUUGAGUAGCCCUUGUAUCUCUGAGAAUAGUUAUCAACUUGGAUUCUUCCUUUGAAGAAAAUGGCCCGUGCACAAAAAUCCUUCGUAUUUCUCAUCUAUGCUAUGAAUUUUUGUGACAUUCACGGCAGAGUCUACCUCUAAUUUUAAUUCGAGCUACAACCUGAUUUCUUUCUUUUUCAGACUCAUUCUUACAAACUCCAAUCCGUCCUAUCUGUUUCCAGUUGAACCUCCAGCAUUCUGAAUGCAAGUGUCCCACCUUGGUACCGUGGAAACACCAUUGGCUUCUGACUUUCACUUCCACCCUCGGUACUUUCCCUUUUGAUCUGAGGAGGACACCGUGAAGCGUUCCCAGUUAUCCUUUCCUUAUCUCUUGCCUUCUUUUCACUCUCCCACUUUCCAUCCCUUUUGAAUUCGGAGAGUGGUGGAAAACAAUUCCCAGAGACACAGAACGAAUGAGACAAAAGAUUGUGCCGUUGUUCGCCGCAGAAGCUGCCCAUUCUCUGAGCUUGUAAAAAGUUCAGUUGCAACUUGCAGGAAACUAAUUACGAAAGACGCCUGAACUGACUUUCCAGCUUUCUCCACUCACGCGAGUAAUCUAUUUUCUCUGUUUGUUUGUGCGUAUGUCUGUGCGUAAAGGAGGUGUGUAUCAGAGGAUUAUAAUUAUGAUUGUGUUCAGUGCGAUUGGUUUAUAUCUGUUUAUCUGCAGCUAUAUUCUCAUCCUUGGAGAGCAGGUUGUACUGCCCUGUAUCUACAAAGGGAAAAUCCCAGUCUCUGAUUUACUGGUCAUCUGGAGGAGACGCAAGACGGAAAUUGUACACAAGUUUGUCUAUGGAAACGAUAAUUUGAGAGAACAAGAUACACAGUUCAUAAACAGAACAAACCUGUUCAAAGAUCAGCUGGAAAAAGGCAACUGGUCAGUUCUGAUCUCUGACCUUCAGAAGACAGACCAGGAUGAGUAUCACUGUCAGAUUUUCUGCACGACUGUAGGUGUAUAUUGGGAGCAAACUGAAAUUGUUCAUCUCUCAGUAAAAGGUGAGAGGUUUCUGUUUUAGGUAUUGUGUAUUUAAUCUCUGAUGCUACGGGGAUAGCAGUGAAGGGGUUAUGAGAAAUGUGAAGACUUGGACUAAUAAUCCAGAGAAUAAAAAUUCACAUCCCACCAUGGGACUUCCAGGGUUUAAAUUCAGGGUAUUAAAUAAAAAUCUGAAAAGAGAAAGAAGAAAAGUGACAGUGAAGAUGUUGAAUUGUUGUGAAACUAAUCACUGAUGACCCUUUAGGUAAGAACACUCCCAGCGUAUGUUGCUGGAUUACUGAUUAUUGUCCAAGAUUCUAUAGACUCUGAAAGAGCUCCUAUGGAUUAGAGGGUAGCUAAUGUAACCAUACAAUUUUUAAAAAGAGCAGGGAGAGAGAAAACAGGGAAAUAUAGACCGGUUAGCUUGGCAUCUGUGGGGUACCAAAUGGCUUCAGUGCUUGAAUCCCAUGUAUGCACACAAUAUAUGAAUGAUUUAGAUGAGGGUUUUAAGUUAAUGUCUCAAAGGUUGCCGACAACACAAAGCUGGGUGGGAAGAUGAACUGUGAGGAGGAUGCAGAGAUGCUUCAGUGUGAUUUGGAUAAGUUGAGUGAGUGGGAAAAUGCUUGGCAGAUGCAGAUAAUUUGGAUAAAUGUGAGGUCAUUCGCUUUGGAACCAAAAGCAGGGGGGCAGAUAAUUAUCUGAACAGUGAUAGAUUGGGAAAGGGGGAGGCGCAACAAGACCUGGGUGUCCCUAUACACCAGUUUCUGAAGUUAAGCAUAGCAGGUGGUGAAGAAGACAAAUGGUACGUUGGCCUUCAUAGUGACAGGAAUUGCGUACAGGAGUGGAGAUGCCUUGCUACAAUUGUACAAGAUCUUAGUGAGACCAUCCCUGAACUGGAAGAUCAGUGAUGAUCAUAUUGAGUGGUGGAACAGGCUUGAAGGGCUGAAUGGCCUACUCCUGCUCCUCUGUUCUGCGUUUCAAUGUUUUGGUAUAAAACCCUGGUGCCCUUACUUGGUCUGUGUGACUCCAGUCUGACAUUAACCAUGCUCUGAUUUAUUCAGAGCUUCAAUCAGUUUUAAACCACGAGAGAGAAAACAAAACAGAACAUAACUGAACAGACUCCAAGUCUAAUUCAGGCCAAACUAAAGACAGACCAAUAUGUCAUAUAACUGUAUGUGCCAUAACCUACACUUCCUUCCCAGAAACAUGGCGUUUCUGUUUCCAGAGGUUGGGGUGCAGGACGUGGGACCCACAGAACCCCCGAUGCAGCCUUUACAAGGCUCUGAAGACUGAGCUUGAAAGUGUCUCCCUUUUGGUCCAGGAUCCUGUGAGAAUUGUCCCCACAGGGGGAUGAAAGCUGCUGGGAAUGAUCCUGCUCAGGGAAACCCUGGAAAACUUCCAUUCUACAGAUAACACAAUCUUGUUGGAAUUUUCACUCCCAUUCUGUCCUUGAUCCCUCCUGAUCAGUUUGACCCAAUCCUCAUUCCUCCUUGGAUGUGUUUCCCUAAAGCCCGAUAGAAUCUCUGAACAUUUCUGCAGUUUGUUUCACACACUGUACCAAACGCAUGUUGUUUUCUUUAGAGCGAGCUCCUACAGCUGGACCAAACACAACUGUACCAGGUCCUGGACACUCCACUAGAACAAGAGUUGGAUUGGGAAUUGGGAUUGCUGCUGUUGCAGUUGCAGUUGCAAUUGUGGUUUAUAACAUUCAAUAGCGAAAAUGUUGAUGCUGCCACUCCUGCUGAACUUUUCCAGCAGCUUUACUUUUGUUCCACUGCACUGAGCCUGGCUCAGGGAGGAGGGAAUCAGCCCAGUAUUGUGGGGAUCAAGUAGCUCCUGGUGGAAAGAGGUGCACAAUCUCAGAAGGGAAAUUCCCAGUGGAUGUUUUAUCCCUUUACUGGAAAAACUGUCCAAGUAUUUCAUUCUGCAUUAUCGCUCAGUGUUACUGUUACAAGCUGGGUGUCCAAACACAGGUUUGGGGUUCCUUUUAACAUUGUAAGCUGAGCUUUCUAACUCCAACGUGAAUUGUCAGAUUUUUUUCAGGCAGUUUCCUUAUUUACUUCUUAAGUUACAACUCAUGAACUUGUUCUUAAAGUGGGAUGAUGCUGUCAGAGCACCGUUUAUCGUCCAUCUUGACUUGACCAACUGCAGUCCUUCUCGGGAAUGUGGGAAAGAGGUUUCGGAAAAUCCCUCUGCAGCAGCACCUAAUGGGCAAAGCGAGUCAUUACAAUUCCAAAACAUCAGCUUUUGUGCUCCUGAGAUGCUGCUUGGCCUGCUGUGUUCAUCCAGCUCCACACUUUGUUAUCUCGGACUCUCCAGCAUCUGCAGUUCCCAUUAUCACUGGUACAAUUACCAGCAGUUGUUUUUCUUAGAUUCAGAAUCUGGAUGGUUUACAGAUUGCAACUACAUCUGACAAAAAAUAACACAAAUAUGUGUUCUGUAUAUUUAACUGUUACUUUUUUAUGUGAAUGAGAUUCUUCUCCAAUCAGUGAUGUGGCUGUAUUUGUCACGAGAACAUAGAACAUUACAGCGCAGUACAGGCCCUUCGGCCCUCGAUGUUGCGCCGACCUGUGAAACCAAUCUGAAGCCCAUCUAACCUACACUAUUCCAUUAUCAUCCAUAUGUUUAUCCAAUGACCAUUUAAAUGCCCUUAAUGUUGUCGACUCAAUGGAUGAAUAACUUGUAUCGUAAUUUAUUUUGUAUUUGUUUUACUGUUAUAUUUCUGAUCUCUGUUGUAGAUAGCUGUUACUUUUCUGCUUAUAGUUUUUGCUCCAAGUGGUAAUUAAAGAGAUGCUGUGCAGACAUUAGUGGGUCUACUGACUGCUGGCCACUGCAUGUACAGAGAUGCUGCAUCUGCUGACAGUAAGUCCCUGAUAUGACUUGCAGUGAAUGGAAUUGGCUGAAGACUGGGAUCAGUAAUUGUGGGAGUCUCAGGAGGAGGCUGUUGCGAGUGGUUAGGACUGUGGGUGUUUACG